rnacentral:rRNA from 1 species
AUUGAACGCUGGCGGCAUGCCUUACACAUGCAAGUCGAACGGCAGCACGGGAGCAAUCCUGGUGGCGAGUGGCGAACGGGUGAGUAAUAUAUCGGAACGUGCCCAGUCGUGGGGGAUAACGCAGCGAAAGCUGUGCUAAUACCGCAUACGAUCUAUGGAUGAAAGCGGGGGAUCGCAAGACCUCGCGCGAUUGGAGCGGCCGAUAUCAGAUUAGCUAGUUGGUGGGGUAAAAGCCCACCAAGGCGACGAUCUGUAGCUGGUCUGAGAGGACGACCAGCCACACUGGAACUGAGACACGGUCCAGACUCCUACGGGAGGCAGCAGUGGGGAAUUUUGGACAAUGGGCGCAAGCCUGAUCCAGCAAUGCCGCGUGCAGGAUGAAGGCC